GACGAACGCUGGCGGCGUGCUUAACACAUGCAAGUCGAACGGAAAGGCCCUGCUUUUGUGGGGUGCUCGAGUGGCGAACGGGUGAGUAACACGUGAGUAACCUGCCCUUGACUUUGGGAUAACUUCAGGAAACUGGGGCUAAUACCGGAUAGGAGCUCCUGCUGCAUGGUGGGGGUUGGAAAGUUUCGGCGGGUGGGGAUGGACUCGCGGCUUAUCAGCUUGUUGGUGGGGUAGUGGCUUACCAAGGCUUUGACGGGUAGCCGGCCUGAGAGGGUGACCGGCCACAUUGGGACUGAGAUAAGGCCGAGACUCCUACGGGAGGCAGCAGUGGGGAAUAUUGCACAAUGGGCGGAAGCCUGAUGCAGCAACGCCGCGUGCGGGAUGACGGCCUUCGGGUUGUAAACCGCUUUCGCCUGUGACGAAGCGUGAGUGACGGUAAUGGGUAAAGAAGCACCGGCUAACUACGUG
rnacentral:rRNA from 1 species